GAUGAACGCUGGCGGCGUGCCUAAUACAUGCAAGUCGAGCGAACAGAUGAGAAGCUUGCUUCUCUGAUGUUAGCGGCGGACGGGUGAGUAACACGUGGGUAACCUACCUAUAAGACUGGGAUAACGCCGGGAAACCGGGGCUAAUACCGGAUAAUAUUUUGAACCGCAUGGUUCAAUAGUGAAAGACGGUUUCGGCUGUCACUUAUAGAUGGACCCGCGCCGUAUUAGCUAGUUGGUAAGGUAACGGCUUACCAAGGCGACGAUACGUAGCCGACCUGAGAGGGUGAUCGGCCAAACUGGAACUGAGACACGGUCCAGACUCCUACGGGAGGCAGCAGUAGGGAAUCUUCCGCAAUGGGCGAAAGCCUGACGGAGCAACGCCGCGUGAGUGAUGAAGGUCUUCGGAUCGUAAAACUCUGUUGUUAGGGAAGAACAAAUUUGUUAGUAACUGAACAAGUCUUGACGGUACCUAACCAGAAAGCCACGGCUAACUACGUGCCAGCCGCCGCUGUAA
rnacentral:rRNA from 1 species